rnacentral:rRNA from 1 species
UACGAAGGGUGCAAGCGUUAAUCGGAAUUACUGGGCGUAAAGCGUGCGUAGGCGGUUAUUUAAGUCUGUUGUGAAAUCCCCGGGCUCAACCUGGGAAUGGCAAUGGAUACUGGAUAGCUAGAGUGUGAUAGAGGAUGGUGGAAUUCCCGGUGUAGCGGUGAAAUGCGUAGAGAUCGGGAGGAACAUCAGUGGCGAAGGCGGCCAUCUGGAUCAACACUGACGCUGAGGCACGAAAGUGUGGGGAUCAAACAGG